GAUGAACGCUGGCGGCGUGCCUAAUACAUGCAAGUCGAGCGAACGGACGAGAAGCUUGCUUCUCUGAUGUUAGCGGCGGACGGGUGAGUAACACGUGGAUAACCUACCUAUAAGACUGGGAUAACUUCGGGAAACCGGAGCUAAUACCGGAUAAUAUUUUGAACCGCAUGGUUCAAAAGUGAAAGACGGUCUUGCUGUCACUUAUAGAUGGAUCCGCGCUGCAUUAGCUAGUUGGUAAGGUAACGGCUUACCAAGGCAACGAUGCAUAGCCGACCUGAGAGGGUGAUCGGCGACACUGGAACUGAGACACGGUCCAGACUACUACGGGAGGCAGCAGUAGGGAAUCUUCCGCAAUGGGCGAAAGCCUGACGGAGCAACGCCGCGUGAGUGAUGAAGGUCUUCGGAUCGUAAAACCCUGUUAUGAGGGAAGAACAUAUGUGUAAGUAACUGUGCACAUCUUGACGGUACCUAAUCAGAAAGCCACGGCUAACUACGUG
rnacentral:rRNA from 1 species